GACUGUUAAAGUUAACUCACAUUUUCAUAAACCUUAAUCUGGGCUCUAAAACUCACAUAUUGCAUGACUUUUCUGUCAUGCAAGGCCACCAUAAAAUCUAGAGCAGUGGUUCUCAAUUCCAGUCCUCGGGGCCCACUGCUCUGCACAUUUUGUAUGUCUGAAAUUAAGUAUCCUAUCGAUGUUUUCCAUUACUAUACAAUGUUUUACUAAUUAACUACUUUUAACUAAACAAAUAAUCAAAUAAAAUACUGAAUGGAGAUAAAAACUGUUGAAUUCUCAUUUGCAAUUAAUUGGUUAGGCAGCUUUACAGUAUUACGGAUGGGUGUCUCAACUGUACUUGGGUACUGUUGGAACAAAAAAGCUGAUUGUGUUUAUGAGCUAAUUGUUGCAAAUAUGAACUACUUAUGGAUGUUAAUAAUUAUUAAUAUUUUAGUAGUAUUUUAAUUUAAUAUUUUAAAGGAAAUGUCAUAUGAAAAAUCACUUCUUUUCAGUCCCUACUUGGUGUGCGAGUCAUUACUUCCUGUUUUUGGUUCGUUUGGAAGUAUUUGGUCCUUGUUGCGUUAAUAUUUCAUUCGAAGUUUCGAACCACACCAGAAUACAUUUGGAAGUGGCCCGAGACCCAUCUUUUUUGCAGUCUCGGUCCACUUGCUUGGUGCGCACCAGGGUUAAGAUGGCAGCUUAAACACUUUCAGUGGCUUCACAUAAACCACAAGCCUGCAACCACUAGCCUAAAAAGCUUAACUGCGAAUGCUGACGCUUUCGGUUUGGCAGUAGGUGAGAAAGGAAACGAAAGGCUGUUUUUUUGUUUUUGUUUUUGUUUUUUUUUAAUGGAUGACAAUGAAUAAAUGAAUAAAAAGCCUUUUAGAGGAAAUGGCUUAUUAUUUUAUGAAUCGACAGAAUAUCUGCUAAUCUUCAACAUGUUUCACACUAAACAAUACGUUUGGAUUAACCUGACUUUUUGCGACAGGUGGAAUUCAGCUUUCUGAAUUUCUUUCAUUCUUUCUUUCAUUCCUAUGGUAUCCGUAAACGGCCAAUAAGUGUCGCACGGGACAACGCUUUCUUCAAUAGGGUCAAUGAGGGGGACGCAGGUUGUAAUAUUUAAGGCUGUGCUGUGGCCUGUUGUCUAAACAUCGGAUAUGACUGAUACACAGUAUUUUACACAUACCGGAAUGGCAAAAGAGCCAGACAUCCAACCUACUGAAAAAGAGCAUAUGCUACAUCUAACUGCUCCUGUGUUGUCUGAAGAAAAAUGGAGAUCUCUGCAUGAAAGAGAAGUUUCACGAGACAAUGGAAAACAUGUGAGACGCAACAGCUACCAAUUAGAACCACCUAAAAUGACUGGAAGUGAACAUGGACUUCUAGACACACCCUGAAUGGAUAGACUUCAGUUGGAGGACUUUCGAUUUCCACUGAUGCCUCACUUUACUUCAUCAAUAUUCAACAGAUAGCUCAAAAUGUAACAGGUCAAAUAUCAAGAAUACAUGCAUGUGUAAAGCACAACAGACCAUAACCUGGAGGAAACAGUGUGAUUUCUGUGCAGCUGAACUUAUGUUAUCUGUAAAUGACCAUUAAAUCCCCCAAUCACUGUCAUCUUUACCUCCGUCGAUAGAGGGCGCUGUUGUCAUGGAAUUCAUCACAAUCCAUCAAGUGAAGCGUCAUUCUGAACUUUUGGGUAAACGCUUUGCAAAUGUAUGUUUAAAAGGUUUCUCCCUACCCCUUAGCCCGUGGCUGACGAAGGGCACAAGGUACCGUUUAAAUUCAAUCUGUGUGUUAAACUUUGAAUUUAUUUAGCGAUCUUAGAGCGUUUUAGCAGGUCGUUAGCAUGUAUUAUUCAGAGAGUGGGAUUCAUGUUUUAUGUUUUUCUCUCUAAAUUGAGAUCGUUAGUUGUACCAAAAUGAAUUAGUUGUUAACUCAUUUCGUAUUGCACUCUAAAAGGAGAUUGUUGUCAUUUAUAAAAUCAUAUCAAGUUAUUCAGGUAGUACUUUGAAAGAAGUUUGUCAGUUGUCAAAACUUGUGGUAAUUUUAUCUGCAUUAAACAUUGUUACUGUCGGUGAUAAUGUCAGAAAUAACUGAUAUUAAUCAAGCUAACUACAGUACUGUAAGACAAGGUUAUCAUUUAUGCCUGUAUACUGAGAAUGUGAUUGUUUUCACACUAUUAAUUUUGUAGUCCAAAUAGAUUCCAAAUUUGUAUUCAUUAGUCUAAAGGUUUGUAAUUUGCAUAAUUUGCAUGCUAAUGUCUAAUGACUGUUUGUUUGUUUUAUUCAGCUCUUACAGCUCUUUUUUUUUUUUUGGAAUUUAAAUCUUUCAUAAACAUCAGUUCCUGAGAGUAAAGUGCAUCUGUUUAGCUGGGAAUGCUACAUUAUCAGGAAAACGUGCUUAUCAUGAUGCCAUGCUGAGAUACACAUCUACAGUGUGAAAAAACAAUUUGUUGUGUCAAUUUAAAAUAAUUUGUAACUGGCUGCCUUAAAAUUUUAAGUUCAGUCAACUAAAAAAAAAAAGUUUCUUCAACUUGAAAUGUUAAGUUAUACUAAGUGACAACUUAGAUAUUUGAGUGGAAUCAACUUAACAUUUUAAGACAGCUGGGUUACUUACCCAUCUGUUAAGUUUAGCUACUUAGUACAACUUAACAUUUCAAGUUGACUAAACUUAUUUUAGCUGACUGAACUUAAAAUUUAAAGGCAGCAGGGUAACAAAUUAUUUUAAGCUGACUCAACAAACUGUGUUUUUUAUUUUUUACAGUGUAAAUAAUACAAUGUAUAUUUCUGUAUAUAUGUACAUUUGUAAACUUUUCAUCAUUUCAUUUUUUAAAUUGUUGUAUAUGUACAAACUUUUAAGAAUAUUAAAAUCUGCUAUUACUGUAAUGUUUCCAUAAUGUUGAAGAGCCAAGGAGAAGAGUAACCGAACACAUUAUAAAUGUAUUAGUAUAAAUACAAUUCCCAACCACACUGAUAAAAAUCUGCUGAUUUGUUGAGUGUUGUCUUUUUAACAAUAUCCAAUUUGCAUGCAAUGCUCAUAUUUAGUUUUUAUGUUGUACAAGUGCUACUAAAAACAUUAAAAUACGACACAAUAUUUAUAGAGAUCAGUAUAAUACUCCAUUAUAAAGAUUAAGCAUUUCAUUCAAAAUACUCUAAUGAAAGCUGGUCCUGGAAGGUUAAAAACGGUCAUGUAGUAUUGCCAUCUAGUGAAAAAUAUGCCAUAUUGGUCUAAUGGUCUAACUGCACCAUCUAGUGAAAAGGAGUAGUAUGACAUUGACACGCUGCAUAUUUAAAGGGAUAGCUCACCCAAAAAUGAAAGUUCCGUCAUCAUUUACUCACCCUAAUGUUGUUACAAACCUGAGUUUUUUUUCUUCUUCUGCAGAGUACAAAAAAUAUAUUUUGAGAAAUAUUG